ACGGCGAGUGAAGCGGCAACAGCUCAAAUUUGAAAUCUGGCCCCUUUGGGGUCCGAGUUGUAAUUUGCAGAGGGAGCUUUUGGCGUCGGUCGUGGUCUAAGUUCCUUGGAACAGGACGUCACAGAGGGUGAGAAUCCCGUACGUGGCCGCCGGCCUUCGCCUUGUAAAGCCCCUUCGACGAGUCGAGUUGUUUGGGAAUGCAGCUCUAAAUGGGAGGUAAAUUUCUUCUAAAGCUAAAUACCCGCCAGAGACCGAUAGCGCACAAGUAGAGUGAUCGAAAGAUGAAAAGCACUUUGGAAAGAGAGUGAAAAAGCACGUGAAAUUGUUGAAAGGGAAGCGCUUGCAGCCAGACGUGCCCGCGGUUGAUCAUCCAGGCUCCAGCCUGGUGCACUCCUCCGCGGGCAGGCCAGCAUCAGUUCGGGCGGUCGGAUAAAGGCCUCUAUCACGUACCACCCCUCGGGGUGGCCUUAUAGGGGAGGCGCAACACGGCCAGCCCGGACUGAGGUUCCGCGCAUCUGCUAGGAUGCUGGCGUAAUGGCGGCAAGCGGCCCGUCUUGAAACACGGACCAAGGAGUCUAACAUCUAUGCGAGUGUUUGGGUGUCAAGCCCGAGCGCGCAAUGAAAGUGAACGGAGGUGGGAACCCUCACGGGUGCACCAUCGACCGAUCCUGAUGUCUUCGGAUGGAUUUGAGUAAGAGCAUAGCUGUUGGGACCCGAAAGAUGGUGAACUAUGCCUGAAUAGGGUGAAGCCAGAGGAAACUCUGGUGGAGGCUCGCAGCGGUUCUGACGUGCAAAUCGAUCGUCAAAUUUGGGCAUAGGGGCGAAAGACUAAUCG
rnacentral:rRNA from 1 species